rnacentral:misc_RNA from 1 species
UCUGCCAAUUGCUUUUGCACUUAGCUUUCCCUUCGGCAACUGGUCAGCAAUGUGUUCAAAAGUUUGAAUCUCGUUUAUGUUCCCCAGUGCAACCUCACAUAAAAUCAGCACAGCAUCAGAAUUUACCCAAUCCGCACCACAAUAAGGCACACUUUUGGCAAACAUAUCAGCAAAAUAUAUCCCCUUGCCAAAGCAGUAACCUCUUGAAGGUGCUUCUGGAGGAGCAAUGCGUAAACCUUGUGAUAAAAUUCCAGUCCAGUUUGUCAGCCGAGACCCAUGCCAUAAGAGCAUUCUAUUUUUG